GGCUUCGAACUUUAUCAAACAGCGCCAUGGCAACCCUGACAACAAUUGAUAACGUCACGCUAUUCUGCAUGGUCUCUGUAUAUAUGAUUGCUCGUGUGAUGACACCACAGUAUGUCUGCUUCGUUCAUUUAUCACUCUCAAGUGUCGAAUGUUUUUACUGUAUUUGUGUUUUUUUUUAUAUUUUGAUCAGUCUUUUAAUUGGUGUUAAUUGCAAUUUAUUAGUAUUUGUAAAAACUGAUAGCCUCAUUGACUUUAAUGGUAUUCAGAAAAUCUGUGCCACAUGGCCAAUAUUUUGGCCUUAAAGUUAUUUCUCAAAAAUGCCACGGCCCAUUUUAAAUCGUUUGUGUUGUAUGAAAUAAACCAUAAUUAGUUAUGGUGACAACACCAGUGUUUAGUUUAAAAUAUUUAACGGUUUUACUUCGAUUGACAUCAGAAGAAGUGUGACGUCUUUUGCAUCACUUUUAAAUUCACGACAGGCUCCCGUUCUAGAACAAACUCUAUGUGUAAUAUGCUUUAUUAAACUCAAAUGUUCGGAUUUGUGUAUCAAAUUCCAUUGUCAAACUUUUGAAGAAGAAAAAAUAAAAACAAUAAAAAAAACUUCGGGCUUUGGAAAAGUUUUCUGAUUUUGUUCUACAUGCCUUUAGUUUGUAUAAUAUCAAACAUCGUCACAGCAAAUAGGUAUUUCGUCAAUUUCGGUAAAUGAUAGAGCGAGAAUAUAAAUUUAUUUGUGAAAAUUGCCACUGUGUGAAAUUAAGUUCCUACAAUUACAGACAGGCAAAUUUUCUUUGUCUUGUUUUACUUUUUAGUUGAUGAUAAAAUUGAAAAUGGAAAUGGGGAAUAUGUCAAAGAGACAAGAACCCGACCAAAUAUGUUAAAGGAUGGCUUCUUAAAGUCAAGUGGCAAAUAAAUAUGCAUAUAUUAAGGACGUGAACAUGCCACUUCUUCAUUUACCAAGACCUA
rnacentral:lncRNA from 1 species